CAGCACCUCAAGUGGUCAGGAUGAUUAUUGGGCCUAAAGCAUCCGUAGCCGGCUCUGUAAGUUUUCGGUUAAAUCUGUACGCUCAACGUACAGGCUGCCGGGAAUACUGCAGAGCUAGGGAGUGGGAGAGGUAGACGGUACUCGGUAGGAAGGGGUAAAAUCCUUUGAUCUAUUGAUGACAACCUGUGGCGAAGGCGGUCUACCAGAACACGUCCGACGGUGAGGGAUGAAAGCUGGGGGAGCAAACCGGAUUAGAGACCCGAGUAGUCC
rnacentral:rRNA from 1 species